rnacentral:rRNA from 1 species
UGGGGAAUUUUGGACAAUGGGCGCAAGCCUGAUCCAGCCGUGCCGCGUGCAGGAUGAAGGCCCUCGGGUUGUAAACUGCUUUUGUACGGAACGAAAAGCCUCUUUCUAAUAAAGAGGGGUGAUGACGGUACCGUAAGAAUAAGCACCGGCUAACUACGUGCCAGCAGCCGCGGUAAUACGUAGGGUGCGAGCGUUAAUCGGAAUUACUGGGCGUAAAGCGUGCGCAGGCGGUCUUGCAAGACAGUGGUGAAAUCCCCGGGCUCAACCUAGGAACUGCCAUUGUGACUGCAAGGCUGGAGUACGGCAGAGGGGGAUGGAAUUCCGCGUGGAGCAGUGAAAUGCGUAGAUAUGCGGAGGAACACCGAUGGCGAAGGCAGUCCCCUGGGCCUGUACUGACGCUCAUGCACGAAAGCGUGGGGAGCAAACA